UACGGGGGGGGCAAGCGUUGUUCGGAAUUACUGGGCGUAAAGGGCUCGUAGGCGGCCAACUAAGUCGGACGUGAAAUCCCCAGGCUCAACCUGGGAACUGCGUCCGAUACUGGAUGGCUUGAAUUCGGGAGAGGGAUGCAGAAUUCCAGGUGUAGCGGUGAAAUGCGUAGAUAUCUGGAGGAAUACCGGUGGCGAAGGCGGGUCUCUGGGCCGAAAUUGACGCUGAGGAGCGAAAGCGUGGGGAGCAAACAGG
rnacentral:rRNA from 1 species